rnacentral:rRNA from 1 species
AGGACGAACGCUGGCGGCGUGCUUAACACAUGCAAGUCGAGCGACAGUGUUCUUCGGAACAUAUGGAGCGGCGAACGGGUGAGUAACACGUGGGCAACCUGCCCCUAGCUCUGGGAUAACUCCGGGAAACCGGGGCUAAUACCGGAUACGAUCUUCCAUGGCAUCUCGGAAGAUGGAAAGUUUUUCGGCUAGGGAUGGGCCCGCGGCCUAUCAGCUUGUUGGUGAGGUAACGGCCCACCAAGGCGACGACGGGUAGCCGGCCUGAGAGGGCGACGGCCACGACUGGGACUGAGACACGGCCCAGACUCCUACGGGAGGCAGCAGUGGGGAAUCUUGCGCAAGUGGGCAAAGCCUAGACGCAGCGACGCCGCGUGAGGGAUGAAGGCCUUCGGGUGUAAACCUCUUUCGAGUCGAGGACGAGGCGAGAGUGACGUACUGCGAGAAGAGCACCGACAC